rnacentral:rRNA from 1 species
GACGAACGCUUGCGGCGUGCCUAAGAAAUGCAAGUCGAACGGGGGACUUCGGUCCCUAGUGGCGAACGGUCGCGUAACACGUAAGAAACCUGCCUCAAAGUGGGGGACAACAUCCUGAAAGGGGUGCUAAUACCGCAUGUGGCCAUCGGGGGGCAUCCCCCGAUGUCUAAAGGAUUUAUUCGCUUUGAGAUGGUCUUGCGGCCUAUCAGGUAGUUGGUGGGGUAACGGCCUACCAAGCCUUCGACGGGUAGCUGGUCUGAGAGGACGAUCAGCCGGAUUGGGACUGAGAUACGGCCCAGACUCCUACGGGGGGCAGCAAUUAGGAAUCUUGCACAAUGGGCGAAAGCCUGAUGCAGCGACGCCGCGUGGAGGAUGAAGGUUCUCG